UUCAAAACCGGCAUUACUCGAUCUUUCUUAAUUCUUCGCAUCCUUGACCUAGACAGAAAAAAUGAGAUGCCGUAGGAAAUGACUUUUUAAAGAAUUUUAUUUUCAUACUCGUAUCCUUUAGAAGUGUUGAUGGGUGAGUUGAGCCAUUAGUUGGAUUUGAAACAGCGUUUCGAAAUGAUCUUUUCGAGAGGGGAAUCAUUUGGAGGAAACGAAAGAAUGUGUGGAAUUGAAGGAAACAACAGCAAAUUUGGAGCUUCGGAAGAAUGCAUAUGAAUUCUACAUAUUGUUUUACAACCAUUAAGGUAACAGAACAGGUUCACUCCAAGAAUAACAAAAGGCAGAGUGUUGAAGCAGGAAGAAGGACACUGCUUUAAAUUUCGCAAUAGAAAUCUGUAUUUGAUUGUUUUAUUUACAUCUGAAGCAGUAUGAUGUAUUUUAGUUACAAACAAGUGCUUCUUCAAUUUUAUUUUAAAUUAAUAAAAA